rnacentral:rRNA from 1 species
GACAGAGGGUGCAAACGUUGUCCGGAAUUAUUGGGCGUAAAGAGCUCGUAGGCGGCUUGUCACGUCGGUUGUGAAAGCCCGGGGCUUAACCCCGGGUCUGCAGUCGAUACGGGCAGGCUAGAGUGUGGUAGGGGAGAUCGGAAUUCCUGGUGUAGCGGUGAAAUGCGCAGAUAUCAGGAGGAACACCGGUGGCGAAGGCGGAUCUCUGGGCCAUUACUGACGCUGAGGAGCGAAAGCGUGGGGAGCGAACAGG